rnacentral:rRNA from 1 species
UACGUAGGGUGCAGGCGUUAAUCGGAAUUACUGGGCGUAAAGCGUGCGCAGGCGGUUUGCUAAGACAGGUGUGAAAUCCCCGGGCUUAACCUGGGAACUGCGCUUGUUACUGGCAAGCUAGAGUGUGGCAGAGGGGGGUGGAAUUCCAGGUGUAGCAGUGAAAUGCGUAGAGAUCUGGAGGAACACCGAUGGCGAAGGCAGCCCCCUGGGCUAAAACUGACGCUCAUGCACGAAAGCGUGGGGAGCAAACAGG